UGGCGUCCCUACGGGGAUUCGAACCCCGGUUACCGCCGUGAAAGGGCGAUGUCCUAGGCCUCUAGACGAUAGGGAC
rnacentral:tRNA from 1 species